CUUAAAAUUGAUUUUGUUUGUCGAUUAAAUUUCAUUCAUCUCCCAAAGUGUUCUAAGGAUCUCGCCUCGCGAAACUAGGGAGAACUAGCUGAGAAAGAAACAAAUGUCCAGAGAAUGUGAAAAUAGCAAAGACACGAUGGACUAGAAGGAAGAAAAUGGAACGUGUGAAGGAUAUAACUUCUCUUGAAAAAAAAAAGUUCCAGAAUUAGAGAAGACGAAUUCAGUUGAAGAUGAAGUAGAGGAAGAAGAAAAAAAAGAAUUCAGGAGAAGAAGAAGAAGUAGAUGAGAAAUCAGGUGACAAAGAAGAACAUAAAGACAUGAACUCUGAAAAUAAUUCUGGUGAAAAAGGAAAUACAGGAUCUGAGGAGAGCUCGGGGUGAGGGAAUCAUGUUGUUCAUGAUGUCCAGACCAAUAAAGAAGAUACUGAUAAGGUUGAGGGAAGUAGCAGUCAAACCUUAAGCGACAUAAGUGUUCCACCGACUGAGUAUAGGAAGAAUAUCAAAAUAUCGAUGGGGUGUUUUAUUGCUGAUGUUUUGAAAACCCUAGAGGAGUUAAACCCUCCCAUGAGUAGGGUAGAGAAGAGUUGAUUUGAGAAUCAUCUGCAGUUCAAACACAUAUUCCACAUGCCAAAGGAUGGCAACCACAAGGUUAUGGCAUGUGGAUGAUCCUUCUCCGAACUGCAGACAUGGAAAAGGAAAAAGAAGCUUGGUUUGCCAUGAAUAGUUGUACCAUCCACUAUGGUAUUAGAGAACAUGCAUUGUUAUCAAGAUUAGAGUGCCGAAACUAUCAAGUGAACUACAAGGAAGCCGGAGGCAUGAAGUUUGCGAGGAAAUAUUUUGUCACUGGAACAAAAAGAUAUCAAGACGUGAACGCGAAGCUUUAGGAAAUGGAACCUACUUGUGAUAGGUUGAGGAUGUUGUUAUUGUAUUUCCUAUCUAGAAUUAUUAUCGGGCAGAUAAAGACUGGUAAAGAUGCCCCUUCCAUGGAGCCAUUCUUGCUGAGAGCAUUUGAUGAUCUCAACUUAUGUAAAACAUUCCCUUGGGGAAUAUUUUCCUUUGAUCACAUGUUAAAACAUA